rnacentral:rRNA from 1 species
GACGAACGCUGGCGGCGUGCUUAACACAUGCAAGUCGAACGAAGAGCGAUGGAAGCUUGCUUCUAUCAAUCUUAGUGGCGAACGGGUGAGUAACGCGUAAUCAACCUGCCCUUCAGAGGGGGACAACAGUUGGAAACGACUGCUAAUACCGCAUACGAUCUAAUCUCGGCAUCGAGGAUAGAUGAAAGGUGGCCUCUACAUGUAAGCUAUCACUGAAGGAGGGGAUUGCGGUGGCUUAGCUAGUUGGAGGGGUAACGGCCCACCAAGGCGAUGAUCAGUAGCCGGUCUGAGAGGAUGAACGGCCACAUUGGGACUGAGACACGGCCCAGACUCCUACGGGAGGCAGCAGUGGGGAAUCUUCCGCAAUGGACGAAAGUCUGACGGAGCAACGCCGCGUGAGCGAUGACGGCCUUCGGGUUGUAAAGCUCUGUUAAUCGGGACGAAAGGCCUUCUUGCGAAUAGUGAGAAGGAUUGACGGUACCGGAAUAGAAAGCCACGGCUAACUACGUG